rnacentral:misc_RNA from 1 species
GGAAGUAAAAGUCGUAACAAGAUUUCCGUAGGUGAACCUGCGGAAGGAUCAUUAUUGUAUCACCGAGGUGCGAGGGCUGUCGCUGACCCGAAAGGUCGUGCACGCCCGAGUGCCCUCACACACAUCCAUCUCACCCCUAUGUGCACCACCGCGUGGGUCCCCCUUUGGCUUGUUCGGAGGGGGGCUUACGUUUUCACACAAACUUUGUAUGCAGUGUAGAAUGUAUUUUUUGUUUUUGCGAUCACGCAAUCAAUACAACUUUCAACAACGGAUCUCUUGGCUCUC